rnacentral:rRNA from 1 species
AUUGAACGCUGGCGGCAGGCUUAACACAUGCAAGUCGAGCGGGGUGAUGGUGCUUGCACUAUCACUUAGCGGCGGACGGGUGAGUAAUGCUUAGGAAUCUGCCUAUUAGUGGGGGACAACAUCUCGAAAGGGAUGAUAAUACCGCAUAGGUCCUACGGGAGAAAGCAGGGGAUCACUUGUGACCUUGAGCUAAUAGAUGAGCCUAAGUCGGAUUAGCUAGUUGGUGGGGUAAAGGCCUACCAAGGCGACGAUCUGUAGCGGGUCUGAGAGGAUGAUCCGCCACACUGGGACUGAGACACGGCCCAGACUCCUACGGGAGGCAGCAGUGGGGAAUAUUGGACAAUGGGGGGAACCCUGAUCCAGCCAUGCCGCGUGUGUGAAGAAGGCCUUAUGGUUGUAAAGCACUUUAAGCGAGGAGGAGGCUCUUUUGGUUAAUACCCAAGAUGAGUGGACGUUACUCGCAGAAUAAGCACCGGCUAACUCUGUGCCAGCCGCCGCAGUAA